rnacentral:rRNA from 1 species
GACGAACGCUGGCGGCGUGCUUAACACAUGCAAGUCGAACGGAAAGGCCUGCUUUCCCUUGUGGAUUGCGGGUACUCGAGUGGCGAACGGGUGAGUAACACGUGAGUGAUCUGCCCCCAACUUGGGUAUAAGCCUGGGAAACUGGGUCUAAUUCCCGAUAGGACUGCAGGGUGGUGCCUGUGGUGGAAAACGAUUUUCUAGUGGUUGGGGAUGAGCUCGCGGCCUAUCAGCUUGUUGGUGGGGUAAUGGCCUACCAAGGCGGCGACGGGUAGCCGGCCUGAGAGGGUGGACGGCCACAUUGGGACUGGGAUACGGCCCAGACUCCUACGGGAGGCAGCAGUGGGGAAUAUUGCACAAUGGGCGGAAGCCUGAUGCAGCGACGCCGCGUGGAGGAUGACGGCCUUCGGGUUGUAAACUCCUUUCGACCGCGAGGAAGCCACCUGGUUGGAAGGGUGGUGACGGUAGUGGUAGAAGAAGCACCGGCUAACUACGUG